rnacentral:rRNA from 1 species
GAUGAACGCUGGCGGCGUGCCUAAUACAUGCAAGUCGAGCGAACAGACGAGGAGCUUGCUCCUCUGACGUUAGCGGCGGACGGGUGAGUAACACGUGGAUAACCUACCUAUAAGACUGGGAUAACUUUGGGAAACCGGAGCUAAUACCGGAUAAUAUAUUGAACCGCAUGGUUCAAUAGUGAAAGACGGUUUUGCUGUCACUUAUAGAUGGAUCCGCGCCGCAUUAGCUAGUUGGUAAGGUAACGGCUUACCAAGGCAACGAUGCGUAGCCGACCUGAGAGGGUGAUCGGCCACACUGGAACUGAGACACGGUCCAGACUCCUACGGGAGGCAGCAGUAGGGAAUCUUCCGCAAUGGGCGAAAGCCUGACGGAGCAACGCCGCGUGAGUGAUGAGGGUCUUCGGAUCGUAAAACUCUGUUAUUAGGGAAGAACAAAUGUGUAAGUAACUAUGCACGUCUUGACGGUACCUAAUCAGAAAGCCACGGCUAACUACGUG